rnacentral:rRNA from 1 species
AGACGCUAUUCCCUAAGAUUAACCCAUGCAUGUUUUUGACAUUUGAAAAAUGGACUGCUCAGUAAUACUCACUUUAUUUUAUGUAAAUUUUUAAUUAACUACGUUAAAGUGUAGAUAAGAUGUUUACAGUAAGAGUGAGACCUAUCAGCUAGUUGUUAAGGUAAUGGCUUAACAAGGCUGUGACGGGUAACGGUAUUACUUUGUAAUAUUCCGGAGAAGGAGCCUGAGAGACGGCUACUAAGUCUAAGGAUUGCAGCAGGGGCGAAACUUGACCUAUGGAUUUUAUCUGAGGCAGUUAUGGGAAGUAAUAUUAUAUUGUUUCAUAUUUUAAAAGUAUAUGAGGUGAUUAAUUGGAGGGCAAAUCAAGUGCCAGCAGCCGCGGUAAUACUUGUUCCAAGAGUGUGUAUGAUGAUUGAUGCAGUUAAAAAGUCCGUAGUUUAUUUUUUAAGAAGCAAUAUGAGGUGUACUGUAUAGUUGGGAGAAAGAUGAAAUGUGACGACCCUGACUGGACGAAC